rnacentral:lncRNA from 1 species
CAAUAGCCAUGUUACAAGGGUUCUUAGGUUUAUGAGUUUCAUAUAAAUAGAGCAGUGUCUUUGUGUUACGGUAACUAAGGCUGUAGUUUGUGCAGCCAAAACCUUAUCUUUAUAAAAUAUCAUUUCAGAAUCAUUGUGAUCUUGGUGACAAUCCAGAGUUCAUCCUCUAUUUACUUUCUUGCUUAUGAAUAAAGCUCUAUGAGGUAUUAGUCUAUCAAUAAAGCUCUUUAGAACACAAAUCUAUCUUAUCUUCAAAUGUUACACAUGGUAUCAGAGCCAUGGAAGAAAACUCAGAUCCUGUUUCUUCUCCAUCUCUGAGUAUUACUCACU